AAAAGUGGUCUAUGGAAGUAAGGGCCAAUCAAAUGCUCUCACGUAGUCUAACGCCAUUGAUACUAACAGAGCAACCUCCGUUCGCCGUAGUUUCUUCGAUCCCUUUCGGCGGCAAGGUAUCUGUGUUCAAUGACUCCCAAUCGAAAAUAUUUGCAUCUGUUUUCAUAAUUUCACUCAAUUUAGCGGUUUCUGGAAAAGUUUUGAAUGGAUGAGAAGGUGAAUUUGAUUGGAUUGGAUUGAAUGUUCAUGUGGUGGGUGAAAUGAUGAUUCGAAUUUUCUUCUUCGUUAAUCGACGAAGAACAUUAGCGAUUUCUACGUUUCAUAGCUUUGAUUGAUCGUAUGGUUCUAUUGAUUCCUUCGCAAAAUUACUUGUCCUCUUAAUGUUGUAAUUAGGAGACAUUAGGUUAAUUAUUUCUAUGAGGAUUCAGAUUAUGAGCGAGUUUUCUUCCAUAUCAAGGCAUAGGUUUCCCAUGUCAGGCCAUUAUGGAAGGAUUGCAGGAAAAUUUUAAAGGAGUGACUGGAAAAGUGGAGUGGAGCAUCUUUUACUUACUUUGUGCUGUAGUUUUCCACACUAGUGGCAAUAUUCUUCAAUGAGUAUUUCUGUUGUUGAUUUAACUUUGACAUCCUUUUUUUUUUCCUGAUUUCAAUUAAUCUUGUCUGCUUAUUGGGAACAUGGACUGUAGUUUGGAUUUAAAAUAAGCUGCUCAUUCCCUUUGAAAAGGGAAAGGUGUCUUUUAAGAACAAAUUAAGGUUCUUUGGGCUAUUAUGACUAUAAUCAAGAAAAUAGCUUUAGAAGUUUCGUUAUUGAGUUGGGGCCUCCAUAUUGAAAAGGAAAACUCUGUGUUUAUAGAAAAAUUGAGAAUAGUUCUUUAAUGCCAUUCACUUCACAAGACUUAUUGGUUCUCUUGUUUGUUUGUUAUUCUGAAACGAACAGUUCUUCAGGAUUUUCUUUGUUCCUUUGCAUAAUUCGGUAUCUCUGGUCACCCUGUUUUUUACUAUAUGAGGUCGUAGUUGUAGUUUUUUUGGUUUUUUUUGCUAGGAACUUAGUCAUGUUAUUGAAUAUCGGAUAAGGCUUUUGAUUCAUCAAUGCUAAGAGAACUAAAAGUCGCUUGGCCUUGUAAUGGGAAACCAAGAAAGAAAAGGAAAAAGGGUCCUUGUAUAGAUUGAUUUGUGGCUGGAGGACAUUGCCUGCUUCUCAUUGCAGUUGGCAAUAAAUCUUCAUUUCUCAAAAGUUUGCUUAGCUGCUUACUUUGGUGAUAUGUGAAGUAUCAAUAUAUGGCAAAAAGAAAGUGCAUCGCACAAGAAUUCAAGGUGGGGAAUCUCAAUUGGCUCUCACCUUUAAUACUUCCUUACCUUUACCCUACAUCAAUAGGAAGGGGCCUUCUCCUACUGCAAUCACCUCAUACCUUCCACUUACUGUUUUUUUUUGUGAACUAACCAAAGGACAAGGCCGAGGCAAGCUAAAUCAGGUUGCUUUCUUCCAUGGAGUUUUUUUUUUUUUCUUUCUAAAACCUUUUGACUUUCAUGGGGAUGUUGAUAACAUUGCAUUUUUUUUGGAGUAGGAGGAAGCUGCUUGGAAGCAAAAUCAAGUUACAUUCUUCUAUGGUAACAUUGACAACAUACAAUUGUUGCUAGAAUGAUGUUCACUAAGAGUUCCUAUUUAAUUUUUUAUAAGUUAUUUUUAAUGACUUAUAUAGAUAUUUAUGAGAUCUUUUUAUCCA